GACAGAGGGGGCAAGCGUUGCUCGGAAUUACUGGGCGUAAAGGGCGCGUAGGCGGGAUGGCAAGUCGGUCGUGAAAUCCCUCGGCUCAACUGAGGAUCGUCGAUCGAUACUGCCGUUCUUGAGGAUUGCAGAGGAGACUGGAAUUCCCGGUGCAGCGGUGAAAUGUGUAGAGAUCGGGAGGAACACCGGUGGCGAAGGCGGGUCUCUGGGCAAUUCCUGACGCUGAGGCGCGAAAGCGUGGGGAGCAAACGGG
rnacentral:rRNA from 1 species